GUUCUAUUCAUGGACAUCAUGAGCACCUGAACUGUACUGGAAGGAACGUCGCAAUGAAUUUAUAGCCACAGAGCCUAAAAUCUAGAGUGCAUUGCACACAAAAGCUUGCUGAAAAGACCAUUGAAAACCAGCUUGUUUCAUCAGGAUUCAGAUCCCUCGCAUGCCACACAGAAUAAAGCUUCCAGGUUUCAUGCAGGUAAUCUAAUGAAUUCAUCUUCCAUCUCAUCAAUAAAUCAGUACUUCAGUGACACGGUACUGGCUAAUCCUCUGGCAGGUGGUCAC
rnacentral:lncRNA from 1 species